AAAGAUUGUCUUACUUCCACUGAA
rnacentral:piRNA from 1 species